rnacentral:rRNA from 4 species
AAAACGACUCUCGGCAACGGAUAUCUCGGCUCUCGCAUCGAUGAAGAACGUAGCGAAAUGCGAUACUUGGUGUGAAUUGCAGAAUCCCGUGAACCAUCGAGUCUUUGAACGCAAGUUGCGCCCUAAGCCUUCUGGCCGAGGGCACGUCUGCCUGGG